rnacentral:rRNA from 1 species
GGUCGAAGGAGGAAAUUCAUUCGCGUUUCGAUCGUCGGCGUUCGACGGGUUCGUGACGGACGACGUUCGCGCGUCGUUCGCUCAACUCGUUUUACGCACCGAUAUCGAACGCGUGCACUUUUCCUCUAGUAGGACGUUGCGAUCCGUUGGGCGUCGGUCUAAGGUCCGGGGAGGAGCCCGCGCGAACGUUUCGCGACGUAUGCGCGGACCCUCGGUAUCCCGGCCGACUCGCUCGACGGUAUAACGAUGGCGCGGGGCCGCUACUUUUUAAUUAGCGUUCGGCUCGUGGCAAGCGCGUCCGGUGUUAGACGGCGAUCGGACCUAGCGCCGAUCCUGUCCCCGGGCGACUGUUGGCUACGAUGUUCUCGAACAGACCUCG